GAUGAAGAACGUAGUGAAAUGCGAUAAUUAAUGUGAAUUGCAGAAUUCAGUGAAUCAUCGAGUCUUUGAACGCACAUUGCGCCCCCUGGUAUUCCGGGGGGCAUGCCUGUCCGAGCGUCAUUGCUGCCCUCAAGCACGGCUUGUGUGUUGGGCUUCCGUCCCUGGCAACGGGGACGGGCCCAAAAGGCAGUGGCGGCACCAUGUCUGGUCCUCGAGCGUAUGGGGCUUUGUCACCCGCUCCCGUAGGUCCAGCUGGCAGCUAGCCUCGCAACCAAUCUUUUUAACCAGGUUGACCUCGGAUCAGGUAGGGAUGCCCGCUGAACUUAAGCAUAUCAAUAAGCGGAGGA
rnacentral:misc_RNA from 1 species